CGUGAGACAGUUCGGUCCCUAUCCGUCGCAGGCGUAGGAAAUUUGAGAAGACCUGUCCUUAGUACGAGAGGACCGGGAUGGACGUACCUCUGGUGUACCAGUUGUUCUGCCAAGGGCAUGGCUGGGUAGCUAUGUACGGAAUGGAUAAGCGCUGAAAGCAUCUAAGCGCGAAGCCAACUUCAAGAUAAGAUUUCCCACCGCAAGGGUAAGACCCCAGAAAGACUA
rnacentral:rRNA from 1 species